UACGAACCGUCCAAACGUUAAUCGGAAUUACUGGGCGUAAAGCGCGCGUAGGCGGCUUUGCAAGUCGAUUGUGAAAUCCCCAGGCUUAACCUGGGAACUGCAUUCGAGACUGCAUAGCUAGAGUAUGGGAGAGGGAAGUGGAAUUUCAGGUGUAGCGGUGAAAUGCGUAGAUAUCUGAAGGAACAUCAGUGGCGAAAGCGACUUCCUGGACCAAUACUGACGCUCAUGUGCGAAAGCGUGGGGAGCAAACAGG
rnacentral:rRNA from 1 species